CUUUAAUGCUUAGCCAAUUAAAGGCCAGGAAGUGGGCUCACUGUCCAAUCAGGGAUGGUGGGCACGCUCUCGAAGCUGGAGACCCAAUGGGAGGCCCUCCAGCACUCAGAUCGUCAAUCCCAUUGGCAAAGGUGGAAGCUACCAAUGUGAAGAUGCAGCUAGCGAGGAACGAAGACAGGGCAGGAUCUUCCGGUCGGCGUGCGGGGCCAGGCCAAACACACCAAUGUGUAAAAUGACACGUGAUGACGACAGGUGUGCAUCCCGAUGUCAUCGCGAAAUUUUGUUUGACGCACCUGUGCCGGAGUCAUCUGUGCGCCCACUGAAAUGUUAAGGGCCUAUUAAGGCCAUUAAGGGAUUAAUUAAAGUAUGUAAGAACGCUGCCUGUCCAUCCUUAAGGUUGACAGGCAGGUGAAAAGCCCAAGCGACCUUCACGUUUUUCAGGAAACCUCAUCCACGGGCGGGAUGAAGUUUCCUGAAGCUUUUAUAAAAUAAACUUAAUUAAUUUGUUCCCACUUUUACAAACAUGUCCCAACUUAUGUGACACUGUCACAUGUUUAAAUAAAUUUUUACAUCAUUUA